GCCUGAAAUCAAGCCUAUAAACCCGCAUGCACUAACACAUAUUCUAAAAUUAAAACAAAACAUUCUUACAUUUCAGUAGAGGUGAUCAAAAAACUUAUAAGAGCCAUACAUAUAGUACCGCAAGGGAAUGAUGAAAUAGAUCUGAAAUAGCCUUAAAGCACAACAUAGCAGAGAUUACACCUCG
rnacentral:rRNA from 1 species